ACUUAACAAAUACUGACCCCUUUUGGUCAGCCUGCUCUGGAGCCUUAAUGCUUCUUGCAGUUCUUCCCCUAGCUGCCCAAGCAGGGAGAAGACCUUGAGACUGGAGGUUGAGAAGUGGUUUUAUCCUAUCUCCUGAAAUGCAAGGAGCCUCUCCUGCUGGCCGGUUUCUGGGCUGUGCUCAACAUGUAAAUCAGGAGAUUAAAGCCAGCUGCGGGAACCCAUAAAACCAGGCAGGAGACUAACCACAGCAAUUAAGCAAGAUUUGUUUUAUUAACCAAGCCGUGCCAGCAGCGCAUAGACAAGAUCUGGGCACACAGCACAACACAAGUAAAUGGUAGCACAGCCCCAAGCAGUGCCUGAGUUAUGUAAGAAUUGCAGUGGAUGUGCACAGAUUUGCCCUAACACUCGGGACGGAGGAAUGAAGGCAGCAAAGAAGAUGAAUCAGAAAAGUUUGGUGACAUGAACACAUGAAUUCCUGAUGAGGACUCAGCUUGCCAACAUUUGUUUGAAAUAUUGUGCCAUACAGGUUUGAAGAACUUGAAAAACUCCAGAAGUAGCACUGUAUAUAAUAAAUGCCUUACUAACACACAAGACAUCUGAUCGUAGACUAUGUUCAAAAAGAGAGCACUGAGGUUGAGAUCAGCUUUUUGACUCUGUCUAGAUGAAUCAUUGUGUUGUCCAUUUCUGAAAUGAAAUCAACCAGUAGCACAUCAACGCUGUCUUCCAAACAUGAGCUGAAAUAUUUGAGUAUCCCUGGAAAAGUAAUUUUUUUUUUUUUUUUUUUGACUCAACACUUUGCCAUCUAACCUUGAAAUGCUGCGUGUUGUAAAUAUGAUAUACUGCUGCUGUAAAGGUGGGGGAAGGCAUCUGAAAUUCAAAAUGAGAAAGCAGAGGGAGAAAGAUGUUCCCCCACCUCAUUGCUGUAUCAUCCUGAUAAGUAACAAAAACUAAUAAUCCCAAGACAUGAUCUUGCACUACAGGAGUAGUAGUCAUUCUUUGUAAUUCAAAAUGCCUAAGUGAAUAUAGAGUGCUAUUCUCUCGAUCACAGUUCAUUUCACACCCACUUUGCCCAGGUGUAAAAGCAUAAAUGAAAAGUUACUCCAGUCAAUGGGCAGAGCUGAUUAUGGCAGGUUUGGAGCAAGAGGGGAAUUUUGCAGUACAAAAAUUCACUCGAUAUGCACAAUAGAAACAGAAUUUCAGUGGUUUGGGGCUCUUUUAUGCUUCAUAUCAACAGGGUAUUAUAGCAUAAUCAAUAGUCCUUGUGCUGUCUUCUUUUGUUACCAGCUCAUCUCUCAGAACAAUAAGA